CUAUUGAAACUGACACGUUUCUAUGGAGAUCGCUGCGCCUUAUAUGGUGCUCGUGUCAAGGAGCCAAGAGAGGGGCUGCUGGCAACUGAUAAUCAAAGGCGACUGACUGGUCAGAACCCUGCAUUGAGGGGGGAGAGAGAAAAUGGGAGGCUAAGGUUAGCCAAGCCUCUUUCACUCCAUUGGUUAGCGUCCUCGUUCCUUGCUACCUACGACUGGGGGCUCUGACAAGCACAAUUUACAUUGAGCUCGCCCUGCACUGCUAUUUAAUUUGAAACCUGAUUAGUAUGGGCCGUCUAUUGUCACAAAAAGAGGAAGAAACCCCGAUUAGAAUAGUCGCAAAGCGGGGUAAAAGCCGGGACAAAGCCAAGCGCGCAUGAAAUAAAUAAACGUACGCGGUGAAAGGUCUCAGGGAGACCGAUUAAAGUUUGAGAUGCUUUGUCUCACGCCGCUGUCAUGAUUACAAGCCCUUAAUUCGCGCAUUGUCUUUUUUGAACGUAUCACUCUCACAUACGCUAUAUUUUAGAGCACAGAGUCUGCGUUGGGGAAAUACUUUUUGAUUGCUGAUGUUGAUUUAUCUUUAUCGUGCAUAGAUAACGGUCCUUGUCAGGCAAAUUAUGGGAAAUAUGCGAGUGCACUACCGCCUACUAGCUGUUUUAUCUGUCUGGAUGCGACAGCAAUGAUAGCGAAUCCUUCAGACUCGUCUAUGAAUAACCGGACUAAUUCAAUGGAUAAGCCAUUAAGAUAUGUACAAAUGAUUGCUAUAUAGCCUUUGUUUAGAUUCUUAUUUAUUCGAAACCAUGCCUUGUCCUUUAAAUAUUCUGCGGGCAUCCAGUAUUUUGUGUAUGAAUGCUGUAGCCUGAGCUGUACAGACCGAAAUGUCUGGAUCGGGCUGCCACCUAGCGUACAGUAGACAAUUACAUGGACAGAGAACUGCAUAAGUUAUUGUUGUAAUAGGCCUGCAUUUUUUGGGUACUGUAAAGGUAUUUACAGUACUGAUCAAACGCUCGAUUAUCAUAUUAAUAUAGGUGGGCCAUGUUGGUCAGAAUUUUGGUAGUAUGCUAUGGUUUUAAUUAUAAAAAAAAAGUUGAAGCUUAUUCUUGUGUAGAAAUAUGUCAUCACGAAAAUGUUGAGCUGGAAUUGAAGAACAUUCCUCUCUGAGCAAGUUCAUACUUUCUAUUUCCCUAUCUUACAAACUACGCUGUUUUAUCAGGUCAAGUAUGACGUUGAUUCCACAGUACUAUGUAGGUUAUGUAGACCAUAGAUGCAGCGUAUUUAUAAGAGGGCGUGAAAAGUUUUUACAAUAGUUUGUUUAUGGCUUGUUUCAUGCAUUAAGUUAAUACAUUAAGUACAUGUUUUUCAAAUAGUCUCUUAACUUGCCUCUUGGAAAAUAUUGUUUUCGUGUAGGCUAUGUGUUUGGAACCAUUGAACAGUCUCCCUCCCUCCGGUUCUCUCGCGAUCGUGAUAGCCAACACAUACUGGCGGUCAUGUCUCCUGUUCUUUGAAAAGAUUCAGCGGCGAGCGAGAAGGAGAGAGAGAGGCACACCAGCGAAUGGGAGACCAGAGAGGAAGGCAACCAAGAGAACAGCGAGAGAGAGGAGGGAAAGUGGACACUAGGACAUGAAGGGAGAGAGUGCUCCGCGCCGGCUCUCAACCUUGCAUGGACAAUGUACUUCAGCGCGACCGAUACCCGUAAGGCAAGUAUUUUACUUAUUUGACAUACUAGCGAUGGAAGAUACUGCAAAACUGCUUUAGGGAUAAACUACUCAUUCUUUUCACCAAUGUUUAUAAGUUCACAUUCAUGAGAAAGCUUCAAAACUGGACUUGUAACAGUCACUAUUAAACGUCCAGUUGUAUGAUUCACACGAAAUAAAACAGAAUAAAAAAUGUAUAAAUUAAAUAAAUUAACAAUAACGUCGCAUCUCUAAAUGUUAAACAGCUUUGCAAUUGAAAGCUGUCGAUGUGCUAUUUCACUCAGUGCAGCUGAACUUGACUAACCACGGCGUAGACCGGCUUUCCAGCCGUAAGCCUCUCACCUGCACUACCCAGUUUGUUGUUUGAUCACAUAAUGAAAAGAUCGAUAGCAACCUGUUUGUCUAAGAGAUAAUGUCAACGGAUUAAAACAACAAUUAUACGAGCGAGGCAGUGACAGAGUGACUGAGUGACUAAGUGAGUCGCGAGACUUUGCAAAGCACGCAAAAUAUAUUUCUGAAAAUGUCACCUCUACGGUAAACUCAUAAAUAUUUGCGCCUAAUGACAACAAUUAAUGGACAUCUGAAAGGUUUACGUAGGCCUAAUGUUUGCUGAAGCCUACAUCCUUAGAUAGAACCCCACAUUCUUGGCAACUUGCUAUCAUCUCAGUAAGUUAUUUUAAAUAGAAAAUAUUGUCAGAAAUCAAAUCACAUUUCUAAUAUAGAAGAAGACACGUCUUAUAACGCCAUGCCAUGAUGGAAAGAAUUGCCAUUACAUUUAAAUUUGUACCAGCUUUAUGAAAACUGAUGAUAAUAAUAACAUCAAAGGUUAUUUUGGGACAUCUCCUUCUUGAAGAAAUAUAAAGUAAUUAUUCAGGAAAUUAUAUAUUUUUGAACCCUGUUGUCCUUAAAAUCCAGUAAUAACAGUGAAUAUAUGUAUAUCUGCAUACAAUUCUCACGUAUAAAAAAUAAAUAAAAAUAAAACCAA